CACAAACCAAGUCAUGCCACUGGGACCAUCGUGUGUCAUCUGAGCUAGCUGGGCCAUGCCAACUCCUACUCCAUCUUCUGCUUUUCCCUGCAUUCCUCAGGAAUGAGAGCUUCUGUGUGAGCAUUCAUAAGACAUCCUGCAUUCACGUCCACUGAUGUGUUUUCUUUUUUAAAAAACUAUGCACAUUUUAUUAGGAAUGUUUCAACCACAUAGAAAACAUAUAAUAGAAACCAAUAUAGACACCACAUAGACGUGGGCCAUGUUAACAUUCUACCGUUUGCUCAUUUUUUAAAUAAAACCUUUAUGAAGACAUUCACAUAGCAUGCUUUCACUCAUUGAAAUUGUACAAUUUGGGUUUUUCAUAGAAUUUGCCACCAUCACCACAUUAAAUAUAUUUAUAGAAUUUGCAACCAUCACUAUAAACUUUAGAACAUUUUUAUCACCUCAAAAAGAAAACCCCUAGGCUGGGUGCAGUGGCUCACGCCUGUAAUCCCAACACUUUGGGAGGCCGAGGUGAGUGAAUCACUUGAGGUGAAGAGUUCAAUACCAGCCUGGCCAACAUGGUGAAACCCCGCCUCUACUAAAAAUACAAAAAUCAGCUGGGCAUGGUGGCACACAUGUGAUCCCAGCUACAUGAGAGGCUGAAGCAGGAGAAUCGCUUGAACCGGAGAGGCGGAGGUUGCAGUGAGCCGAGAUAGUGCCGCUGCACUCCAGCCUGGGUGACAGAGUGAGACUCCAUCUCAAAAAAUGAAGAAGAAAAAAAAACCCUUGUCCUUUAGCUAUCACCCCCUGCCCCCCACCGAUCUACAUCCUAGGCCUAC
rnacentral:lncRNA from 1 species